UAUUACUACUUUUCAAUAAUAUAGACAUAUAUUAUUGUGGCGAGCAUUUGGCCCAAGAUUAUAUAUACAAAAGACGUAUAUAUAUCAAUCAACUGAAGAUAAGAAGAAAUUAAGAAAGAGUCUACAUUAACACCCAAUUUCAUCUACAUUUUUUACAUUGGCUAGCCAGCCAGUCUUCUAUUCAAGUUUUGUUCCCACUUCAAGGGGGGAGAGAGAAGAAUCGAGUUACAAAGCUAUUUUGGAACUGGGAAAACAAACUUGAAGAGAAAAAAAAGAAUCUAGACUGUGGUUUGUAGGAAAAAGAUUUUCAAAUCACAAAGACUGUACAAGACUAUUUUCUACAACUGAGACAAAAAGCACAAGAUACAACGUGAAUUCUAGAAGCAAGCACGUGGCAGAGAUUGUCAAAUGUCCAGAAUCAAGCGUCCAGAACUGCGCAGCUGUGUGGAUGAAGCAACGAAAUAGACAGAAAUAACUGAUCUGGUGAGUAACAUGGAAUUCAUAAAUGAUGUUGCAGAGAAAAGUAAAUUGCAGUUUGCAUGUAAUAGCAGAUAUUCAGAUGCUGUAUUGUGGCAAUCUUUAUACACACAAUGUGAAAUUGCCAAUAGUGAAAUUGACAAGAAAUUGUUUGUUAAUAAGAAAAAACAAAAGAUCAGAAAUGUUAUGAAACUAGUCUGUACUUACAAUGCAUUGAUUUGUAAACGAAAUGCAGGUCAAGACAAUUUAGAAUCAGCAGAAAAAGAAGUAGAUUUGAAUGGGUUAACAGAAGACAAAUCAGAUUUAAAUGAACAGUGUAACAAUGUAACAGAGAUAACAUUGUCAGAAAAAGUCUGUGAAUUAAAGGAUAGAGUUGAACUAAGAAAUGAUCUUAUUUGCCAGCUUAGAAAUGAAGUUAAACUAGUGUGUGUUAAUACAAGAAACAUACAGGCACAGAAUCUAAUCCCAGAAGCAAUAGAUACUGAAAAUGUAUCCUCACAGAAUGAUUUUGCAGAAAUGUUGGAAAAACUAAAACCACACAAGGGGGAGGAUAUAUUUAGUUUUCUUGUAAAAUUUGAAAGUGCAUAUAGACUUGUUGCUGAUUUUUCUGAAGAUCAGUUAAUUAAUGAAUUUGUGAAAAAAAUUCAAGAUCUAGAUCCAACUGCAAUUGUGUUAGCUAGAGAAAAAAGCACUUUGACAGAAGUAGCUUUGUUCUUGGAUAACUUAAGGAGGGAAACCAAGAAUGAAGGGGUUAAAACGACUUGUGGAUUUAGGCAGAGAAAGAAGUGCAGAUGUUACAGCCCCCGUCCCCCUCCUUCUUCUUCUUCUAGGACAGAGUGUAGAGUGAUACAGACAGCUGAGCCCCUCCCAAUUUAUUCAACUAAAAACUGUAGGGUUGAUAAUAUAGGGCAAAAUAUAACUCCUAAAGUUAUUUGUUUUUGGUGCAACAAACAACAUUAUUUAAGAUCUUGCAGAUAUUUUAUCCGAGAUAUCAAAUCAAAAGCAAAUGAGAAAUUAAAUUUGUUGAUUGAAAAUUUUGACAGAGAAAAUACACGUGGAGAUAAAUCAAUAAAGGCCUUUCCUUGUAAACUUAUAAUCAGACAAAUAAAAGCAAUUUUAGCUAAAUCGAAAUUAGGAGACAGACAAGCAAUGCAGUGUAACACAGAAAGUUAUAAGAAUCAGAUAACUUCACGAGACAUGAUCAGUUUAGGGAAUGAGCAUGGUUAUGUGUGCCAACAGAUGUACACAGGCUGAUUCCAGAAUUAAGAACAGCACAAGAAUAGAGAUCUAUGUUAGUUUGUUGUUUUAAAUGAAUUGUUAGUCUGUACUGUUUUUUCAUUGUUUUAUGUGUGUUAUAAGAAAGUAUUAGGUUAAUUAAUUAAAAUAAAAAUACACAUCAAGUUUGCAAAUAUGGCAGAAUGAAAUACACUAAUGUAGCAGUUAGGAACAUGCAAUGUUAUAUUGGGUGUAUGCGAUUAUACAGUAACUCCAAUCAUUUUACAGAAGGUAAAAACAAUGUUGUUACUUCUGAGGUUGAUUUAAAAUCUUUGAUUUAAUUCAUGAGAAUGAGAUUUUAAUAUCAUGACUGAUAAUGGAUUACUAUAUUUUGCAAAGCCUGGACAUACAUAUGUUUUGAUUAUUUAGAAGACAAAAGUUUUGAUAGAAUAAAACCUAGAUUUACAAAUACAUUUGAUGAAGGAAACAAUAUAUGUUUUUUGUAGUUUGUUUCAUGUGACAAAAUGGUGCCAGUGUUCAGACAAGAUGGCUGCUAUUGCUAAAGUAUAGUGGAAAACAAUAUUUUGUUGUAACAUCUUAUAUGUGAUUAGGUUAUACCUCCAGAUUAUUAAACAGUUUAAAAGGGGGGUAUGAUUAAUAAAAUGUUCAGAAAGAUUUGAAUAUAAAGGAAAUUUAAAGAUUAUACAUCACAUGGCAUAAAUGUAAUGACCACUAGAUGGUAGAUCUCAUGAGAAGAAAUUAGUAUGUUUUGUGUAGUCAAUAUAAUUCAAUGUUAAACUGUGUAAUAAUAAUGAGAUAUAAACAUUGUAAGCCAUUGUAUUGAUGCUGCACAUGUUAUUUGUUUUAAUGUAGGUAAAGCGUGACAGAUCCUUGUGGCAAUAAAUCAGGAAAGCAUUCCUUUAGACAACUGGACAUCGACUGUUGGAAAGAGACUUUGAUCUGAUCUGCAAAC
rnacentral:lncRNA from 1 species